rnacentral:misc_RNA from 1 species
CCGUGGCGUGAUGGCGCG